rnacentral:rRNA from 1 species
UACGUAGGGGGCUAGCGUUGUCCGGAAUCAUUGGGCGUAAAGCGCGUGUAGGCGGUCUGGUAAGUCCGCUGUGAAAGUCGGGGGCUCAACCCUCGAAUGCCGGUGGAUACUGUCGGGCUAGAGUGCGGAAGAGGCGAGUGGAAUUCCUGGUGUAGCGGUGAAAUGCGCAGAUAUCAGGAGGAACACCAAUUGCGAAGGCAGCUCGCUGGGACGUUACUGACGCUGAGACGCGAAAGCGUGGGGAGCAAACAGG